rnacentral:rRNA from 1 species
GAAAAAAGACAAGGGCAGACGGUGGAUGCCUUGGCUCUCGGAAGCGAAGAAGGACGUGAUAAGCUGCGAAAAGCUACGGGUAUCGGCACAUACGAGUUGAUCCGUAGAUCUCCGAAUGGGGCAACCCGGCAUAUGGAAGAUAUGUCACUGUGCAGAGCACAGAGCAGACGUGGGGAACUGAAACAUCUUAGUACCCAUAGGAAAAGAAAACAAAAGUGAUUCCCUUAGUAGUGGCGAGCGAACGGGGAGUAGCCCAAACCGGCUUUGUUUCGGCAAAGUCGGGGUAAUAGGAUCAGACGACAAAUUAUAUAAAGACUUUAGUAGAAUUGUGUUGGAAAGCACAGCCAGAGAGCGUGACAGCCGCGUAGACGAAAGGGUCGCUAUAUAAGAGUUUGACACCUGAGUAGCUCGGGACACGUGAAAUCCUGAGUGAAUUAGCGGGGCCCAUCCCGUAAGGCUAAAUAUACCCGAGAGACCGAUAGUGAACAAGUACCGUGAGGGAAAGGUGAAAAGGACCUCGAACAGAGGAGUGCAAUAGACCCUGAACCCGUCUGCCUACAAGCGGUAGGAGCCCCUACGUGGGGUGACUGCGUGCCUUUUGCAUAAUGAACCUACGAGUUGCCGUUGCUGGCAAGGCUAACCGGCUAUAGUCGGGUACCCGGAGCGAAAGCGAGUCUGAAUAGGGCGCCUAUAGUCAGCAGGGGCAGACGCGAAACCAAGUGAUCUACCCUUGGCCAGGUUGAAGGUUAGGUAACACUAAUUGGAGGACCGCAUCGGUAAGCGUUGAAAAGCUUUCGAAUGAGCUGAGGGUAGGGGUGAAAGGCUAAUCAAACUUGGAGAUAGCUCGUACUCCCCGAAAUGCAUUUAGGUGCAGCCUCAGGAGUUUCUUAUAAGAGGUAGAGCGACUGAUUGGAUGCGAGGCUUUCACCGGCUAUCAAGUCCAGACAAACUCCGAAUGCUUAUAAGUUAUCCUGGGAGUGAGGGCAUGGGUGCUAAGGUCCAUGUCCUAAAGGAGAAGAAUCCGGACCAUCGGCUAAGGUCCCUAAAUCACUGCUAAGUUGGACAAACGCGGUCAAGAUGCGAAGACAGCUAGGAUGUUGGCUUGGAAGCAGCCAUUCAUUUAAAGAGUGCGUAACAGCUCACUAGUCGAGGAUUUUGGCAUGGAUAAUAAUCGGGCAUAAGCAGUGUACCGAAGCUGUGGGAUGUUAAUACAUCGGUAGGGGAGCAUUCUAACGGAGUAGAAGAUUCGAAGACGAUUCGGGUUGGAUUUGUUAGAAAAGCAAAUGUAGGUAUAAGUAACGAUAAAGGGGGUCAGAAACCCCCUCGCCGAAAGACCAAGGUUUCCUGAUCAACGCUAAACGGAUCAGGGUUAGUCGGGCCCUAAGCGGAAGCCGAACGGCGAACGCGAUGGCAGAAUGGGUUAAUAUUCCCAUACUAAUCAUAUGAGUGAUGUGGAGACGGAGAAGUGACAGUACGGCCAACUGACGGAAUAGUUGGUUAAAGGGUGUAGAUGUAGAUUGGGGUAGGCAAAUCCGCCCUGAGAGUCGAACCUGAUAGUACAGAGCGUGCAUGCACAAUCUGAAAAGUACGUAACCAGGCUCCCAAGAAAAUCCGCUAAACAUAUUGUAUGAUUACCCGUACCGUAAACCGACACAGGUGGUUGGGUUGAGUAUACUAAGGCGCUCGAGUGAUUCGCGGUUAAGGAACUAGGCAAAAUAGUCCUGUAACUUCGGGAAAAAGGACGCCUCUGAGCGAUCAGAGGUCGCAGAGAAAAGGCCCUGGCGACUGUUUAACAAAAACACAUGGCUAUGCGAAAUAGAAAUAUGCAGUAUAUAGCCUGACACCUGCCCGGUGCCGGAAGGUUAAGAGGAGAGGUCAUCCUUUUUGGAGAAGCUUUGAAUUGAAGCCCCGGUAAACGGCGGCCGUAACUAUAACGGUCCUAAGGUAGCGAAAUUCCUUGUCGGGU